rnacentral:lncRNA from 1 species
ACCUUCCUUUUAUAAUAGGGAUACGUUUGGUAACAUUAUUCAUACUUAGGAACAAUUUCUGUUAUUCUCUCCAAGGAUUAAAUCACUAAUAGUAACAUUUUUGAUACCAGGAAAAUAUUUGUUGAGUGAGCCUUCUUCAAUAGCCUAAACCUUUCUGGUACAAAACAAAACUUUCCUCCACCCAUGCAUAGGCAUGUUGAGUGCAAGGUCUGUGGGAAAAGUUGUCUUGAUGCCUGAGAUGGGCAUCAAGAUGGCAUCUUUGGGUGGUGGUUUAAAUUUCACUUUGGCUACUUUCUAGCUUUGUGCCCAUUUCUUAACUUAUAAGUCUCCAUUUCAUCUUUUGAAAGACAAGGAUAAGGAUGGUACUCAUCUCAUGGAGUUAUUGUGGCAAUGAGAUGAUGUUUGGCAUGAAGCAAGUGCUCAAUGAAUAUUUUCUAUCAUGCUUCCUUGAAUAUGAGAUAGACUUACAUUGGAAGUCUUGGUGGGCACUAUUAUUGGGGAGUUAUUGUAAACUUUUAUCCCCUAUAAUUUCAACCUCAAAGGAUAACUCAAAUCAAUCUUAGAGAUAUUUAUUGGGCAUCUACUGCAUAUCCCAGGCUCUGUCCUUGGCACUGGGGUAGAUAGACGAAAAGCCCUCCAUGCCCUUAAAAGUAAGAGAAGCAAGUAUAUACAUUAAUCUAAUAUAGCAUUUUCAGGGCAGUAAUAGAAGUGUGACCAUAUAGAGAAGGGUACAGAGAAAGGGAAGCACUUACUGUUUGGUGGGAUAGAGUUGGAAGGUUCAGGAAAGACUUCAUGGAGGAGACAACACCCAAAGAGGAUUUUUGAGAUAUAAAUAGGGGUUUCUCGGGAUAAAGAGGAUGUUCCAGGAUGAAGGAGGAGCACAUGCAAAGUUAUAUUAGCCUUAAGACAAGAAGAUAAAGUGACAGGGGGGAUAAAUGAGACAAGAUUCCAGGAAGGGACUCAAGGUCAUCGGGGCCCUGCUAAGGAAACCACACAAAGAGAGUGGGUAUAUUCUUAGGGUUCUGGAGGGUGCCAUUAACCAGGGAUGACCAUGAGCAAUUCUGGUGGCAGAGCAAAGAUUAGCUAGAGGGAAACGUAACAGGAGGUAGUAAGGUAUGGUCCAGCUUCUCUUAUGAACGAUUUUUGGUUAUGUUGAUCUUAACUUUCUCUAAUCCUUUUCAAAGGUAGUUUUAUUGACUUAAAAAUAAGUCCCUAAACACUUUACUACAAUUUGGAAGUCCAAAAAGUUCUGAAAGUUUUUUCUUUUCUUCCUUCCUCUUCCUCCCUCUUUUUCUUUUUCUUUCUUUCUUGCUUGCUUUCUAGCUUUCUUUCUUACAAAUAAAAGUUAUAUACAUUCAUGUUAUAUAUAAUGUAUAUUAUAUAUAAUUGUGCAUAUAUACAUCUGUUUUUAUGCCAGUACCAAGCUGUUUUGAUGGUAGUAGCUUUGUAGUAUAGUUUUAAGGCAGGCAGUGUGAUGCCUCCAGCUUGGAAGUUUUUUCAUAGCUCAUUUUGUGCUAGUGACCAGACUUAAAACCAUUUGGUGGCUAAAUCUGAAUAGAACUGACACAGGGCUAUGUAUGAUAUUUUAUUUAUCCUACCAAGUAUAAAUAUUCAUUCAUUUUGCUGCAGAAAUAUCAAACUUUGAUUAUAGGGUGAUAUCACAGAUUCUCUGAGGGUAUUAGAUAAUAGAUAUAAAUAUAAAUAUCUAUCUAUAUCCAUACUAUAAUAUAUUUAUAUAAAAUCUUACAUAAAUAUAAAGCAUAUGCAACUGUGUUGCCUUUCUGACACUCAAAAAUUCUGAGUUGUGAAACACAUCUGGUCCUAAGGGUUUUGGCUAAGGAAAGGCAUGAUUGUAAUGAGUUUUUCCUGUCAUGUGAAGGAGUAAUUAUCUUUCCUGAUCUGACCUUCCCUACAUUGCAUCUCCCCUAUUUCUCAGUUGUUUUUCUUUUUUUAACUUUCAUUUCCACUGAGACCCUGAUUCAUGUAUACACUUAGAGUCCAGAGUGUGAAUUUCCAAAUGUCAUUCAACUGGCAACCAUCAGACUGGCCGUACCAGUCUGGGGGAGCUUAUAUAACACAUUUCUGGGCACAUAUUCAAAUAUUUUAAUUAAGUAGAAAUGGAGGGGGCUUGAGAAUUUGGACAUUUAAAAAUUUUUUAACAUAAAUCUGAUGCCCAAACAAGUUUGAAAAAAAAAAACUGGUUUAGUACCCAAUAGCAGUACUUAAAAAAAAAAAACCUGUAUGUCACAUCCCAGAUAACUUAGGAUGGAAUAUUGGGCUAUGGUUAGUGGUGUGAUGGAGCCAGCUUGCUCUCACCCACAAGAAUUAAUUGUACAUUUCUCAUCUUUAAUUCAGUGACAGCUUUGGUUAGCUUGAAGUAAUCCAUUGUGGGAAUAAUAUUUACAUCAUGGAAACUAGAAAACAUUGCAAAUCAUGUUUUUCUCCUGGAGAAAAAUGUUUAAAAUUUGUUAAACAUUUACCAGCACAUCACUAGCUACCAUUGCUUGACUUGAUAGCCCUUCUCUGGUGAAUCAUUAAAAAGGAACUGAUUUUGAUACUUUGUUUUAAGUAUGUGUGAAGAUUUAUAAUUUUAAUUAUUGUUUUACUUAAUUUUAUUUAGACAAAUGGUUCACCAAAAUAAUCAAAUGUAUUAUGGAGAAUUCUUAGCUACAUUUCCUAUGCAGGCUAUCCAGAGUCUUCUGUUGCUGAUAUCAGCACCACGGACAGCGACAGCAAAUCCAUAAAGUGGCCAAGAUUAGAAGAACCAAAAAUAUCUCAAAGUUUAGGGUCUUAGGAAUAUCUUAGUGAGAAAUCCCAGUGAGGGAUAUAGGAUAAAGUAAGCAGUAAAUGAAUAUUUACUAAUAUCCAAGGCUUUUGCUAGGUGAUGCCUCUAUGAUUCAAUUGUCAGGGUAAAACAGAGAUCAGAAACCACAGAUAUAAGUAAAAACUAAAGCAUCAACCUCAGACAAUAAUUCAUGAAGACCAAAAUAUAAAAUGAGUUGUUAGGAAAUAGCUGAAUCAUAGGGAGUGGGAGGAUGAGUACAAGAGGGUAUAAUAAAUAGGAGAUGGUAGCAAAAAGUAUAUUGUGAUGAACAGAGCACUGGAUAGGUCUUGCUGCUAACAUACUAACAUACUAAGUAACUUUGGUCAGAUCACUUGACUUCCUAAUCUCUGGUUUUCUCAUCUGUGAAAUGAGGACAUUGAACAAUAUGAUCUCUGAAAUUCCCACUAGCUCUAUGACUGUGGAGAAUUUUGUCCAGACCAGGAAAUUUCUUACAUGUCCUCUUAGUAAUUGGAGUGCUAUCUGUUAAGUGGAAUCCUUUGACUGGAGUGGAAAUUAAAAAUGAGGUCCAUUGAGAUUUGGGCUUUCACACUUCACUGAGACAAUAAAUUGGGGUAGGGUUUUGGGGAAAAAAAAUACCAUCAUCCCAAGGAGAUUCAGACUCUAACCCAUGGCUGUCCUCAAAUGUAUGAAAGCCGAGUUUUACUGUCUACUCCUUAAUCACUGUUAUCACUCAGAAAUCAGCUCUACCUUGGAGUUCCCAUCGUGGCUCAGUUGUUAACAAAUCCAGCUAGGAACCAUGAGGUUGUGGGUUCGAUCCCUGGCCUUGAUCAGUGGGUUGAGGAUCUGGUGUUGCCAUGGGCUGUGGUGUAGGUCACAGAGGUGGCUUGGAUCCCACAUUGCUGUGGCUCUGGUGUAGGCCAGCGGCUGCAGCUCUGAUUAGACCCCUAGCCUGGGAUCCUCCAUAUGCCAUGAAUGCAGCCCUGGAAAAGAUUAAAAGACAAAAAAAAAAAAAAAAAGAAAAGAAAAAAAGGAAAGACAUCAGCUCUACCUUUACAGUUAUUUGAGAUUAAGCAUCCCUCAAGCGCAUGUUUGUUUGUUUUGUUUGUUUUCUGGAUUCACCCAUGACAUGUGGAAGUUCCCAGGCCAGGGAUCAAACCUGAGCCACAACAGUGAUGACACAGGGUCCUUAACCCACUGAACUACCAGAACUCCCUAUGCCAAUUUUUAAGGUCUAAGGCUAAUCCAGAUACACAAGGAAAAAAGGGAAUUGUUAAAUACAACACACAUACCCUGGGGAGAAGUUCAGAAAAAUAUGCCUACAGAGAAAUACCCUCAGAGCUGACAAUAGAGAUUAAUGAACCAUGAGUCAAGAAAAUCAGUCAAUUAUUUAUCAGAAUUAAUGAAAAAAUGAAAGGGAAUUCAGAAAACUUCCUUUGAGUUUAUAUUAUUGAUGUUCAUAAAAACAUUUAAUCAGGAAAGGAACUAUAUAGAGUUCAACGCCUUCUUUUAAGAGUUGUCACUCAGCACAUGAGUGAUAGGUUAGAAUCAAAUACCACAUUCUGUCAAAUUUGGGAAUACAAGGUCAGGCAAUCUGUUACAAGAAGAUCACGCCUUGGUAGAUGAUCUACAUGCUGUUCUGAAACACAAGCAAACCCUUAAAGAGCUUUUCUGAGGGGACUGAGGACACCAUUGACAGCACAGAGAUCCACAGAAUCAUUCCAGACCCUGACAAAUAAGAAUCCAACCAUGCCAAAGGAGAGGAAUACAUGUCUGGAAAAAAAUUCAUGCUGGUCCCCUUGUUGUGAAUUGUGUAUGGCUUAUAGAAACACAAUCUCUUAUGAAGUGUAGAGGUUUUUCCUCAAAUGCUUAAGUAAAUUAGAUUGUAUUAGGCAUGCAGAAAUCCAGGCAUAACAUGGAAAUCAAUGUCAUUGCCGAUAACUGGAACCAUUUUCCCCCCCGAUUCUCCCCUCUUUUAAAGGCUGUAUCAGCUCAGCAUCAUAAGACUCUACUGGACCCAACUCUUUGUAUAAUCACUAAUCAGAAACGUACCUGUUUCAACUAUUUUUUUCCCUACAUGACCCAUCAUAAUACUUUGUCUUUAGAGAUCGAAGGAACCUGGAAAGAGCAUGCGCUCUGGCUGAUGGUAAGGUGGUGAUAUGAAUAAAUAAGUGUCUCUUGGGAGAACUGAGUUUGCUUGAGGGAGGUGUGAGGAUUUGCACAUGGUCAAAAUCACAAUUCAUUGAUCCCAGGGAUUCCAGAGUCAAGUACAACCAUCACCCAAGCCUUCAACUAAGGCUGAGCCUCUUUUCUCUUAUUGUACUAGGCACUGGGCACCCAGUACCCUCAGAGCCUGGUAUGGUACCCACUCUUAGUGAGCUCACAGACACACUUAAACUUUGAAGAAAUUUUGGGGUACUAAAAUUGUCAUUGAGAAAAAAAAUUAAAGGUUGCCAGAGAAUAUUCUGGAAUAACCAGAGUUAAAUU